rnacentral:rRNA from 1 species
AUGUUAUGGAGUUGUGGUGCUCCUCCAAAGGUGUGUGUGUUUGCAUGGAAGGCAGCAAGGGGAGCGUUGGCUACAAAGGAAAAUAAACAACGUAGACAAUUGGAGCAUGAUGGGAUUUGUACCAUAUGCGGUCAGGAAAUAGAGUCAAAUUUUCAUGCGCUGGUUCGAUGCCCACAUGCUCGUAACUUAUGGACUGCCAUGAGAUCGGUAUGGGACCUUUCAGGUGAUGAUCUUCUCAAAGGUACAGAACCAGAAUGGUUGCUGUUGUGUAUUCAACAGCUCAAUGAGACACAAAGGAUGUUGUUCCUCAUGUUAUUAUGGCGUAUAUGGCAUGUCCGUAAUGAACUUACCCAUAACAAGCCAAUCAUUCCGGUUGAGGCCUCAAAGAAAUUCCUAUGCAGCUAUAUGGAAUCGUUGCUACUGAUUAAACAACACCAGGAGGUGGAUGUGUUGAAGGGUAAACAGGCUGUUAUUUUCUCAGGCCAGGCAAGUCAUAAGGGAGCUAGGACGACGCCAGUGGAGAUUGUAAACUGGAUUCCCCCAUCAUUUGGUGUUGCCAAGCUAAACAUCGAUGGAUCCUUCGUCCAAGCGGACGGAACGGCGGGCGCUGGUAUGAUACUCAGAGACCACAAAGGUACGGUAAUUUAUGCAGCUUGCAGGUCGCUCUUGAACUGCUCGGGUGCUCUUGAGGCUGAGCUUGCAGCGUGUGACGAGGGCCUACGACUGGCACUACACUGGACUCAACUACCGCUUCAGGUGGAAACGGAUUGCUCCGAAAUCAUCAAGCUGCUUAACUCUAGUCCUACAGAUCGCUCUAGUAACAUGUAUCAGGUGACUGAGAUCGCUGAGAUGGCGAAGGAACGACCUGUACAUUUCCGGAAAAUUUGUAGAUCACAAAAUAAUGCUGCUCAUGCUAUGGCAGCUCUAGGUCGUAGUCACCAACGCAUUGCUUGUUGGUUAGCAAACUCCCCAAAGGAGGUUAGUAUUAUUAUUUCAAACGAUUGUAAGGCCCUGGUUGAUUAA